AGUGCCCCGUGGUAGUGCUUUUAUUAGUGGGCUAAUCUUUAUUAGACAAAUCAAUACUAAAGGAAAAUUAGAAAGUGAUAAAAGAAAUGUAUGUAAUCUUGGGCAAUAUUGGCUCUCUCUAACAUGUUACUUUGAAACAAUUUGCGAGCUUGAUUCACUUCUUGAAUACAUCUCGAAAAUCUUAUCAGCAGUGUUUCUAAGGCUGGAUGCAUAAAAUACCAGCAGAUAGAUGAUAGAUGGAUUGUCUAACCAUAUAUAAUGGAUUUUUUUCUGUUACCCACCUUAAAAAACAAAACAAAACAAAAAAAAAACUGGUGGGCGAUUUUGAAUGUUAAAAAUACUUGAAUUUAAGAGACAAUACUUGAUUUUUGUACCAAGAGCCACUAACUUACAUAAGAACUCUCAAAGCCACAUUUCCAUAAAAUGUGGUUAUUUUACAACUAACUGACUAAGGAAGAUUUGAACCUAAGUCAGAGUCACGCUUACCUGUCACUUUCCAUAAGAUACAGCCGACAGAUGCAGGCCAGGCCUCUCCGGGGUUAAUGCUGAGUGACAACUGGAAAGGGCAGCGUUAUGACUCAGUUUCCUUGGUCCCCAGGGUACCAACCCGGCCACUGUGCUCCUCCCUGGACAUGCAGUCAUCGGCAAUACAUCCUUACCCUCAAAGAAAAUGUUUUUUUCAGGAACUAUAAAUAGGAGGUCUAAAAUAGAUUUUUCUCUCUGAAUAUAAAAUUUCCCUAUCCUAUGAGCCUUUGACUCAUUGUUUAGGGAAGUUGGGCAAAUAGACAGGAUAUUCUUAGUAUGUAAAAGUAAAUGGUUAUCAGCAGGCAGGAUUUUAAGAAACUCCUGGGAUUUUUUGCCCUGUGGCUUGCACGGUUCUUGUCUCAAACUGGAUAAAUAAAACGUUAUUCUUGUGUUCAGGUUACCAAUAAGUGGACUUAAAGUUAACAAAACAUUGGUACCCCGAGAGCCUAACUGAAUGAGGGAGAUACUCAAGGAAGGAUAAGACCUUCUGUAAAAGAUGGCGUCUCCCCGCCUUGAAAGAAUAGAGUGACCAGUGAGCUUAGAGAGGAUACUGAGUCUCAAAACACUACUGCCCAGGUGUCUUGAGUUCUGUUUUAUAUUCUCACCAGCUUCCUGUGAAAAAGCUCCCAGGAAAUGUUUCGGAAAUGAAUAUGGUUUGAUGAGGUUCUGUGGAGGGAGGUCUGCAACAAGGCUCACUGAGGCCCUAGCAGAACCCCAACCCUCAAAAACCUGAGGCCUCCAAACAAACUCCUCUUGGUUUGCAGCCCAGACAGAGAGAGAUUACCAGGUGAGUCCUCCAUCCUUGGCAAGCGGUGUUACCCCACCAGCCUGAUCAGCAGGCUGGAGCCAACCAUCACAG
rnacentral:lncRNA from 1 species